rnacentral:rRNA from 1 species
CAGCAGCCACGGUAAUACGAAGGGUGCAAGCGUUAAUCGGAAUUACUGGGCGUAAAGCGCGCGUAGGUGGUUCAUUAAGUUGGAUGUGAAAGCCCUGGGCUCAACCUGGGAACUGCAUCCAAAACUGGUGAGCUAGAGUACGGUAGAGGGUAGUGGAAUUUCCUGUGUAGCGGUGAAAUGCGUAGAUAUAGGAAGGAACACCAGUGGCGAAGGCGACUACCUGGACUGAUACUGACACUGAGGUGCGAAAGCGUGGGGAGCAAACAGGAUUAGAUACCCCCGUAGUCCCUGUCUCUUAUAC